rnacentral:rRNA from 1 species
CCUACGGGGGGCAGCAGUGGGGAAUAUUAGACAAUGGGCGAAAGCCUGAUCCAGCCAUGCCGCGUGUGUGAAGAAGGCCUUCGGGUUGUAAAGCACUUUCAGUGGGGAAGAAAGCCUUGGGGCUAAUACCCUCGAGGAAGGACAUCACCCACAGAAGAAGCACCGGCUAACUCCGUGCCAGCAGCCGCGGUAAUACGGAGGGUGCGAGCGUUAAUCGGAAUUACUGGGCGUAAAGCGCGCGUAGGCGGUCUGAUAAGCCGGUUGUGAAAGCCCCGGGCUCAACCUGGGAACGGCAUCCGGAACUGUCAGGCUAGAGUGCAGGAGAGGAAGGUAGAAUUCCCGGUGUAGCGGUGAAAUGCGUAGAGAUCGGGAGGAAUACCAGUGGCGAAGGCGGCCUUCUGGACUGACACUGACGCUGAGGUGCGAAAGCGUGGGUAGCAAACAGGAUUAGAUACCCUGGUAGUC